CCUUAUUUAAUUGAACAUGAUCUGUUCCAUAAUCUUGUACUUGUGUGUCCUUGAGUUCUAUAAGGAUACAGGAACCAAGUCUGGUGGAUGAAAAAUGACUGACUUGAGUGUAAUUUACAACUCUUGUAGCCCGGUUUCUGGGCUAAUGGGGCAGUAGAGCAUCAUUCCUGGUCCUUGCUUCGCCACGGGCUAAGAUGAUCCUGCAGUUUUUUGACAGAUU